AUUUAUGUUUAUAAAUUUUAUAUAGUUUUAGAUUAUGGUUAGUGAAAUAAAAUUCUGUUUUAUUAUUUUUAAAGAGAAAUUAGUUUUAUUUAUUAGUACUGAUAAGGAAGUUUUUAUUUUAAAAGAAAAAUUUUUUGGUUUACCUUUUGUAUCAGGGUUAAUUAAUUUUAUAUUUAGAUAGUUAUUUCCCGAAAUUAGAAGAGCUAAUUUUAUAAAUGUUAUUUAAUGUUGAAAAAUUAUUAUUAAUUAGAAAUUAGUAGUUAAACGCUAUUCGAUUAUAUUAUAUCUGGUUUUUAGAUUUUAUUUUAAUUAUUUUUAUUUAUAUUAAUAUUUAUUUAUUUAAUUAAUUAAUGGGUUAAUAUAUAAUUUUAGGUUGAGCUUAAAUAUAUUUAUAUAAAUUAUUUUUAAAUUAAUUUAUUUAGGAAUAAAAGUUUCUUUGUUUAAUUACUAAUUUUUUAUUUUUAAUAUUUUAUUUGUUUUAUUUAAAUUUAGAAAUUUAUAUUUUAAUUUUAUUUGUUUAGUAUUAAUGGUUUAAUUAGUAUAUUUAUAUUUUGUUUUUGGAGAAAUAAAAAUAGAUUGAUUUUAAGAAUUAGACAAAUUAGUUUUUACCUGUUUAUUAAAAACAUGGUUUUUUGAUUUUUAUGAAAGAUCUGGUCUGCUCAAUGAGGUUUAAAUAGCUGCAGUAAAUUAACUGUGCAAAGGUAGCAUAAUCAUUAGUUUUUUAAUUGGGAACUGGAAUGAAUGAUUGGAUGAAAGAUUAAUUUUUUUGUUUUGAUUUUUAGAAAUUUAUUUUUAAGUGAAAAAGCUUAGUUUUAUAUAGAAGACGAGAAGACCCUUUAGAAUUUUAUAUUUUUAUUUUAUUAUAAGAUUAGGAUUAUAAAUUAUUAUAUAAUAUUUAUUUUGUUGGGGUGAUAGAAAAAUUUUAUUAACUUUUUUUCUUAUUUACAAGUUAGUUGGUUUUAUGGUCCUGUAUAUGAUUAUAAGAUUAAAUUACCUAAGGGAUAACAGCGUAAUUUUUUUAGAAAGUUCAAAUUGAUAAAAGGGAUUGCGACCUCGAUGUUGGAUUAAAAUUUAAUUUAGGCGUAGGGGCUUUGUGUUUAGGUCUGUUCGACCUUUAGAAUUUUACAUGAUCUGAGUUUAAACCGGUGUGAGCCAGGUUGGUUUCUAUCUCUAUUGUUAAUAUUUAUAUUUAGUACGAAAGGAUUAAUAUUUAAUAUUAAAUAUUAUUAUUGGAUAAUUAUA
rnacentral:rRNA from 1 species